rnacentral:rRNA from 1 species
ACUCCUACGGGAGGCAGCAGUGGGGAAUUUUGGACAAUGGGCGAAAGCCUGAUCCAGCAAUGCCGCGUGAGUGAAGAAGGCCUUCGGGUUGUAAAGCUCUUUUGUCAGGGAAGAAACGGUGAGAGCUAAUAUCUCUUGCUAAUGACGGUACCUGAAGAAUAAGCACCGGCUAACUACGUGCCAGCAGCCGCGGUAAUACGUAGGAUGCAAGCGUUAAUCGGAAUUACUGGGCGUAAAGCGUGCGCAGGCGGUUUUGUAAGUCUGAUGUGAAAUCCCCGGGCUCAACCUGGGAAUUGCAUUGGAGACUGCAAGGCUAGAAUCUGGCAGAGGGGGGUAGAAUUCCACGUGUAGCAGUGAAAUGCGUAGAUAUGUGGAGGAACACCGAUGGCGAAGGCAGCCCCCUGGGUCAAGAUUGACGCUCAUGCACGAAAGCGUGGGGAGCAAACAGGAUUAGAAACCCUGGUAGUCCCAUGA